CGUAAUAAUAGAAACUAACCAGGAUUCCCUUAGUAACGGCGAGUGAACUGGGAUACCAAUAUAAAAUAUGCACUCUGUGCAUAAUUUAGCCCGUCGAUACUAUCCUAGCAUAUCACCGGUCUCGGCCGGUAACCAAAUAUGCGGGAAUUGUAGCAUCGUAACAACACAAAAAAUAUAUACGCACACACACACACACACACACACACAUAUGCCUCACGCCUCAUAGCACGUACUGACAUAUCUUGUAAACACACAGCGUCUCCGCGUUGGAAAGCAAGUAUAUAUCCUCUUUGGAUAUGCCAUAGAGUGUGACAGCCACGUUUGAAUCACUCAUAUAUGCAGUAUACGCACUCACACACACAUAUCUUGCGGCGCGGCGUGUCGUGUCGUGCACACACAUUAUAUAUUUAUAUAACCUGAGUCGAGUUAUUU
rnacentral:rRNA from 1 species